UUUCCGUAGGUGAACCUGCGGAAGGAUCAUUGUCGAAGCCUGCCCAGCAGAACGACCCGCGAACUUGUAUAAACAACCGGGGGCAGGGGCGAUCUCGCCCCGCGCCCUCGAACGGCAGGGAGACACUCGUGCCUUCUUGUCGAACAACGAACCCCGGCGCGGUCUGCGCCAAGGAACUUCAAUUAAAGAGUGCCUCCGGUCGCCUCGGAAACGAUGCGCGCGUCAGAGGCGAAUCUUGUACAAAACCAUAACGACUCUCGGCAACGGAUAUCUCGGCUCUC
rnacentral:misc_RNA from 1 species